AGCAGCCGCGGUAAUUCCAGCUCCAAUAGCGUAUAUUAAAGUUGUUGCAGUUAAAAAGCUCGUAGUUGAAUUUCGGGAUCAAGGUGCCGGUCAUGCCAUUGGUAUGUACUGACAUCAAUGAUUUCUCCCUUCUGGCGAACCAUGAUGUCAUUAAUUUGGUGUCAUGGGGAAUCAGGACUGUUACUUUGAAAAAUUAGAGUGUUUAAAGCAGGCACACGCUUGAAUACGUUAGCAUGGAAUAAUGAAAUAGGACGUUUGAUCCUAUUUUGUUGGUUUCUAGGAUCUACGUAAUGAUUAAUAGGGAUAGUUGGGGCAUUAGUAUUC
rnacentral:rRNA from 1 species